AAAGACCACUCUCCCCAGCUCCCACAGCCCUGCACAUGGUGAGAAAGAUCAGAAAAUAUAUGCAAGCCUUCUUGGCAGAGUGGAGUUUCUUAAUCUUGGUACUGUUGGUAUUCUAAGCCUGCUAUUUCUCUGUUCUGGGGCCUGUCCUGUGAAUUUUUAAUGAUGAGCAACAACCCUGGCCUCUUCCCAAGAGAUGCCAGUAUUAUUACCACCCCCGUCUCAAUCGUGACAAUCAAAAAUGUCUUGAGAUAUUGCCCAAUGUCUCCUGGAGGGCAGAGCGAGAAAAUCAACACUCAAGAAGCACCUUCUUAGCUAUCAGGCAUCAUGGAUGUUUGUCCUGUUGUAUUACAAAUAAGGAAGUGGAGGAACCAAGAAACUUGACUUGGUGAAGGCCACACAGUCAGAGAACAGCAGAAGAAGGUUUUGAAUGCAAGCAGUUUGACUCUUGGUCUCAUCGGACAGUCAUAGCAAAGGACCACAAUGGGGUGGCUUAAGACAAAGAGACAUGUGUGGCCUCAGAAUUGUGAAGCCUGGACGUUCAAAAUCAAGAAGCCAGUAAGGAGCUUCUAAACCUUGAAGACUUGCAGGGAAUUCAAGGUUUGGAAUUGUCUUAAUUGUUUAGAAUUGUCAAGAGGCAGCCUUGUCUGCCUCUUCCCAAGGCUGGUGGCUCAGGCAAUCCUUGGCUUGCAGCUGUUUAACUUUGGUCUCUGCUUCCAUUGUUACCUAGCAUGCUCCCUGUAUGUAUAACCUGAUCUUAUAACAACACUAUCAACUUGGCGCAGGAGCACUUCUAUUCCACUGUGUCUACAUCUCAGUAAUUGCAUCUGUAAUAGCUCUAUUUCCAAAUAAAGUCAUAUUCUAAGGUAUUGAGGGUCAGGACUAUGAUAUAUUUUAUUUGGAAGAUACAAUUCAACCUUUGGCGAUUCUGAACCAGCAUGCCCAUGAUAUAAUGAAAUUCUUGUUAUUUGAUAAGAGCAAAAAAGUAAUAGCAAAAACACAAAAGUUAGAAUCAUGUCAUCAGUGUCUCAGGGGAGGUAUGAAGUGUGGACAUUCAGGGAAGGGCAGAGAUCUGAGGCUGUGGAAGGGGUGGCAGUGGUUUGGCCUUUUUCAGAGGAAGUCACAGAAAAUGUAAGUGGCAAUGUAGGCAGACAGAACUUCAUGGAAAACAUGCACUGAGUUGGGGAAACUCAGGGCUGGUUACUUGAGUAAGAAGCUCCUUUGUAGUCCAGAGAGGGUUCAUAAACAUAAUUUUUCAAGAACUGAAACUCUUGAUGAUACUGUAUAUGGCAUCUGAUUUGCCCCACUGAUAAUAGAAAUAAAAGCCAGGCCAGGCAAAGCUUUUAACUGAGAGACAUGAGAAAAUGAGAAGGGACAUGAGCUUGAGAAGAUGAGACAAAGGGGCAGAGCACUGACAGAGUGAAUCAGGCUGGCUCAUUCACAAGGGAAGAGGCAAGCUUUGGGGAUGUUAGGGUGGGGUGGAGUCUGUU